UACGGAGGGUGCAAGCGUUAAUCGGAAUUACUGGGCGUAAAGCGCACGCAGGCGGUUGGAUAAGUUAGAUGUGAAAGCCCCGGGCUCAACCUGGGCAUUGCAUUUAAAACUGUCCAGCUAGAGUCUUGUAGAGGGGGGUAGAAUUCCAGGUGUAGCGGUGAAAUGCGUAGAGAUCUGGAGGAAUACCGGUGGCGAAGGCGGCCCCCUGGACAAAGACUGACGCUCAGGUGCGAAAGCGUGGGGAGCAAACAGG
rnacentral:rRNA from 1 species